UGCCAGAUUGGUGUUUACUGGUUUGCUCCUUC
rnacentral:piRNA from 1 species